UGGGUUGUGGCUCAGGGGUAGAGCUCACCUAGCAUGUGUGAGGCACUGGGUUCGAUCCUCAGCACAUAAA
rnacentral:tRNA from 1 species